rnacentral:rRNA from 1 species
ACUCCGUACGGGAGGCAGCAGGUGGGGAAUCUUGCGCAAGUGGGCGAAAGCCUGACGCAGCCAUGCCGCGUGAAUGAUGAAGGUCUUAGGAUUGUAAAAUUCUUUCACCGGGGACGAUAAUGACGGUACCCGGAGAAGAAGCCCCGGCUAACUUCGUGCCAGCAGCCGCGGUAAUACGAAGGGGGCUAGCGUUGCUCGGAAUUACUGGGGCGUAAAGGGGAGCGUAGGCGGACAUUUAAAGUCAGGGGUGAAAUCCCGGGGCUCAACCUCGGAAUUGCCUUUGAUACUGGGGUGUCUUGAGUAUGAGAGAGGUGUGUGGAACUCCGAGUGUAGAGGUGAAAUUCGUAGAUAUUCGGAAGAACACCAGUGGCGAAGGCGACACACUGGCUCAUUACUGACGCUGAGGCUCGAAAGCGUGGGGAGCAAACAGGAUUAGAUACCCUGGUAGGAUAGCG